UACGUAGGGUGCAAGCGUUAAUCGGAAUUACUGGGCGUAAAGCGUGCGCAGGCGGUUCGCUAAGACAGAUGUGAAAUCCCCCGGGCUUAACCUGGGAACUGCAUUUGUGACUGGCGGGCUAGAGUAUGGCAGAGGGGGUAGAAUUCCACGUGUAGCAGUGAAAUGCGUAGAGAUGUGGAGGAAUACCGAUGGCGAAGGCAGCCCCCUGGGCCAAUACUGACGCUCAUGCACGAAAGCGUGGGGAGCAACAGG
rnacentral:rRNA from 1 species